CUACUAUAACUUUGAACUAGGGCUGUGAACAUUUGAUUGCAAAACCCUCAUGGAUGAGAAAUUUAUUUAAAGAAAAUGUGUCCAGGAAAGAAUGCUAACAAUGAUUCCGGUCGAUCCACACCAGCAGACCAGGAUGCAGCCAAAUUAUGAUCUGACCUUCUCUUAUUACCUAAUAUGGAUCCAGUUAAAAAAAAAUGGAUGGAUGAAUUUUUACUUUAAAUUGGAAAGAUGUGUGUCCAUGGAGUACAAUCAAUAUGAGUUCAAUAUGGCUAUAUUAUGAGUAAUCAGAACUCUACGACUGCAUACAGAAAUCUUUGCUCUCGAACCAGAAAAUUAAUGAACUUCCAAAGUGAACCAGAAGGAAAGGCUGUGGAGUCUGACAGCGCUGUUGAUUUGGACCAAAUACGAGCUCAAAUAGUGGCAUAUCUUAUUGGGGCAAUGCAAAAUAUAUUGCAGCUGAAUCUGUUGAAUUUGGACCUGGUGUGUCGUCUGGAAAUUCAUUGGACACAGUCUCAACACCUCAACGUGUUAAAGGUAUGUUGAUUCAAUAUUCAACAAAAGUGCAUGAUCAGAAAUUUCAAAGAGGACUUGUGCCUGGAUAUUCGACUUUUACUGAAUGACCGGGGAAAGUUUAUUUUGGAGACGCAUACUUUGCGAAUGCAAUGACAAUGGGGGCAAGAGACAUGUUCACUUUAUUGAUGAGUGGAAAGCAUUUGCCAGAAUCCGGCCUCGCAAAGUUGCAAAGAUAUGAAAUUGGUUUUAUAUUUUCCAACAUCAUUUUAAAAGCCUUUGUCGUCCACUGCUACCGUGGAAGAGACAUUCUAGAGUCUUUAUUCAUGAAAUACCUGCCACCUUCAGAAAGAGUUAAUUAAUGGCUGCAGAAAGAGAGCUAAGGAGUGGGUAGAGAAAUGGCAAGACGUUCAUUUCCUGAUAAUGUUGAGUGAUUGGCGACUCUUUAUUUCUUCUUUCUUUUUCAUUACUUUUUUUAUCCUCAUUAGUACCAUCAUUCUUCGAGACAAAUGAUUUUUAGCAAAGAGUACGAUCUUUCUUCCGAGACAAAUGAUUUUUAGCGAAGAGUACGAUCUCUUUUCCGAGACAAAUUAUUUUUAGCAAAGAGUACGAUCUUUCUUUCGAGACAAAUUAUUUUUAGCAAAGAGUACGAUCUUUCUUUCGAGACAAAUGAUUUUUAGCAAAGAGUACGAUCUUUCUUUCGAGACAAAUGAUUUUUAGCAAAGAGUACGAUCUUUCUUUCGAGACAAAUGAUUUUUAGCAAAGAGUACGAUCUUUCUUUCGAGACAAAUGAUUUUUAGCAAAGAGUACGAUCUUUCUUUCGAGACAAAUGAUUUUUAGCGAAGAGUACGAUCUUUGAAGAGUACGAUCUUUCAGAAGAAGUGUGCGUACACACUGUACGAUUUUUCAGCAACAAAUUGCGAUCUUUCAGCAGCAGGUUAGCUACGUUCCUUCAUGAGCUGACUCCGAACUUUUAGGAGCUUUCUGCGAUCACUGAGCUAUACUAUAAUUCCUGGAGGGAGUGUUUCUCGAGUUUCAGCUUUUCGAAUUUCUUUUUGAAGCAAAAAACAUGGCGGACAUCGUCUGCUGAAAAAUAUAACCUUAUUAAUAACCUGCAUUUAAAAGGUUUUUCACCAUUGUGAGUACGGACAUGUUUUACAAGAUCCCCAGAUCUACGGAAUGCUUUCUCACAAGUACUGCAUUUGAAUGGUCGUUUAUCAGAAUGGAUAAACUUGUGUCUGGUUAACAGGCUUU